ACAGUGCUGUGUUUUGUUCAGGUGGUGCGGUACUGUCGAGGGGGCUCCCCCUUGUGGGUGUCUUCUCAGCACAUCCCUUCAGAUCAGGAUAUCCCACCAUGCACCUGUGGCGCCAAGAGGAUCUUUGAGUUUCAGGUGAUGCCCCAGCUGUUGAACAAUCUGUGUGUGGACUCUACAGGAGCCAGUAUCGACUGGGGGACGCUCGCUGUCUACGCCUGCUCAGCCAGCUGUAACAAUGACGAUCAGUACUGCCCCGAGUUCAUAUGGAAACAAGACUUCAGCUCAGAUCGACUCACACAGACUCAACCUCCAUAAUAUCUGUCACACUGAUGCAAGUGAAGCUCAGACAACUCUUGUCAGGAAACUGGUUUUCUCUCUGACUGCAGUGAUCACACCUGUAGUGAUGUCCCUGUACUUUAUCUGAUCAAACUCCUCUCUACGAGACUUUUAAGGACAAUGACCAUUUUUUUUUGGAGGGGCAGAUAUUCACCGUCUGGACUAAUAAUAAAAGUUCAGAUAUUCAAACAGUUCUGCUUCCUUGCCACUCCCAAACCCUGUAUUAUUCUUUGACUUUUCACUGUUGGAAACAAUGCAUCGGUGGUGUUUCUGACUUGUGGGUUAGAAUUUUUUUUGCCAUAUACUGUACUGUUUAUACAUUAUAUAUGUUGGAGCCAAUACUCCACAAAACAAAAGGAAUAUGUGACUUCCCACUCAAUGAAGUGUUUACCAAACCUGUCUUAACAGGAGUGAUAUCAUGUUCUGCAUCAUUUAGUGGACAAAGUGAGGCAAAUCAUGUAUUGUUAAAAUACUAUCAAAAUGUAAAAAGAAACAUACUGAUAUGAAUGUAAUUGUUUACAUCCCAUAAGAAAUAUAUAACAAUUUCAAAUUAUCACUCAUUUGUUUGUAUUUUAUAGCUUUAAAAGGAUUCACACAAGAACCCUGUGUAAUUGUACUUUCAAUUCUCUGGUGAAAAACCCCAAAGAACCGGUUAUAGGUGUCCAUCCGGAGCUUAUGAUGAAAGCAGUGUUAAUAUUUAGUAAUGACGGUUCAUACAUGUAAAGAUCAAACUGAACUGCCCCCAUUUACUUCUAAUCGUCGUGUUGCCUUUAUGACGAAGACAUCCACAGUAAGACUUAUAGACAGCCUUUUUUUAACCCAUCAUGCACCUGGACCUCGAUAUACCAUCAGGCCACUUUCAAACUGAAUGAACAAGAACAGCAGCGAGUAUCGUUCCAGGAGAGACAGAAUGGAGGCUCACAAACAACUUUUUUUCAAUGGCUUUAACAAGAAACAUGUCUGGGAAGAAGUUUUUUUUUUAACAACAAAAAAUUAAAAACCUCAUCUCCUUAUAACAAUCGGUAAGAACAAGAGGCAAGAACUCAUCAGACAAUUUGACAAACGCCCAUCAUCCGGCUAAUAUCAGCGUACACAGUACUGAUUCAUACACAACAAAAAUUGACUUUUCAUUUCUGAAUGUCAUAAAAACCAAAUGGGUAAAAGAAAUGAAAACAAAUCAAAUGCUUACAGAUGGAAGAAACAUGAAUCUUUUAGCAAUGUGAGAGAAGAAGUUAAAGACAGCAGUAACUCAUCAGUCCCAAGCCAGCUUUAGAGACUAAACGUGUACCAUGGCAUUAGGAAGAGUUAUGGACUGAGAAAUUCAAUUUUCCGUCGAAGGCUCCUUAAGAGCAAUGGUGAUGCAAGAGUUGAAAUAACUGCUUACGAUUAUCAAGCAAGAAAAACCAACAGAUGCAAAAGAGGCACCUUCAUUUUUGAACCACCUCCAUUUCACAUCCUUUGUAUUACAAAUACUUAAAAUCAUCUAGAAGAUUAAAUAAGACGUUUUCUGAGUGAUGGUUAUCUGAACCAGCCAGACAACAUGUGCGAAAUAAAAAUAACGAUCUACUCCUGAUGUCCCAGGAAAAACUCCUAUCUCAAACUUAGUACAGGUUAUGUAGAUGACACACCAUAACAAGAGGUUAACUGUUCUGAAUGCAUAAGUAAGUCUUUUUAUUUAAAUCCUGACAAUUAAGACCUUUAUGAGAUACGGGCAGUUUUCAUUGCAUCCACACGAAAGGAAAGAUGACUAACUGGACGCCAAACAUUGACACAUAAAAAGGUAGAAAUUAGGCAAAAAGGCAAGGUUGAUAAAGAUUGCUUGAAAUGAUUAGAAAUAGUAGUUAAAGCACUAGUGUGUGAAUAAAGGUUUUGAUUCAUGGACAAAGUAAGUAUUUUCUCUUGUUAAGGAAAUCAGUUUUCCACUAAGAGAAAGGACCUCUUUGUCUAGAAAACCGGGUCAAGCAGAUGUAAACAAAUCAGACAACUGUUUAUCGGAAAUGUCAAAUGUUCACUAGAUUACUAUUUAAGGACACUGCGCGCAAAGAAUAAUUUGGGAAAAAAUCAAAUAGUAAACAUUGACAAUCACAUAUUGAGAGUGAUGCCUAUAAUCUAAGAAGAGCAAACACACAGGCAGACAGAGCUUCAAAUAUCGAUCGUCCCAAAUAUCAAAUGUACAAUGAGUAAUUAUUAUUUCCUACACUAAUUGUUUGCAACUGUUUUAAGACAUAUCUCAAACCUCACCAGACCCGCAUAAGAUUAUUUUCUGUUCAAGUUAUCUGUGCAUAACAGGCAUGAACUCACACUGACCCGGAAAACAGUUGGUGGAAAUGGAUAUUUUCGGAUCAAAUGAAAUAAAGCCAGCAUUACGCUCAGGACCAACACAACAGAUCCUGUAGAAAUAUUGCAAUACUUUUUUUUUUUUUUUUAAAUCGUACCAGUAUUAUGUGCAACAUGUUAAACAUUCUUCUGACAGUAUAUACAGAGGUGCACUGUGUUCCUGUACAUGUUGCAUAUGCUACAUAAAGUUAAGAAUAGCUCAUUGAAACCCAUAAACGUAGAGUUUGGACUUUGAGUCUCCAUGGCAGCCAUGUCAGCACACUGCAGAAAGAACAGUACAGGAGACAGGAGACCCAUGUCCCAUGUGAAUAAUACAUAAAUGCCCUACAGGUGACACAAAUCAAAGUCUAACAUUACAAAUCCAAACAUUCAUUCAGAUUGAUUAAGACAUAAUGAUUUCAUU